CACACACACACAUUUAUUCAUCAUCAUCAGUGGAGCCAGAUAAGCUGAUAAACCAGCCUGCCUCUCCUCAGUACAGUUAAUGUGGGCUGAGUGAUAUAACCAUCAACAGUCCUGGUAGUACAGGUUCCCAGGCCACUUUCAGGAUGUGUCGGAAUGGCACUGUGUUCCUAUAUCGUGCACUGCUUUUGACUCCAGUAGUGCUGAGUGAUUAACCCUAAAUCCAGUUUUUAAACAACUAAUUUGCCACAGUUGGUUCAAUUAUUUGAAUUCCAUUUUGUUUUUUUGUUUUUUCUUCUGUGAGCUCAAUGCACACAUUGGGCUGCAGUUUCUGUAGAGAUAAAUGAUCAUGGACCAACAAGUUAAUUUCCCAACCUGCGUAGGGAGUUGUAGUUUCCAACAGGCCAAUAUUCUACAUAGUUUAGCGCAGAAAAUUGGAUUAUUAACUACAAUGACCAUAAUUCAUUGCACGGCUACUUUUCCAGUUUAUUUUACGCCUGCUAUGUAAGAGACAGAAGAAUGAGCAAUCAGGAGAGGAUCCAUAGAGAGCAGUUUCUUUGAGGUAUUGGUAUUUUGUUUUUUACCCUCGCUGAUUAAAAUAAUCAACUAAUCAUCACGCUGUGUAGUGUUAGGGCAAAUAACUAAACGUGCACCUCUUGGGGUCCCGAGGCCCGAGUUUGGGGAAACUCUGCUUUAUUUACAUUGAACUACUAAUAGUGAUUUAGUCAGACUAGAGCUCUAUAGAGGUGGUUUAGUCAGACAGCAGCUCUAUAGAGGUGGUUUAGUCAGACAGCAGCUCUAUAGAGGUGGUUUAGUCAGACUAGAGCUCUAUAGAGGUGGUUUAGUCAGACAGCAGCUCUAUAGAGGUGGUUUAGUCAGACAGCAGCUCUAUAGAGGUGGUUUAGUCAGACUAGAGCUUUAUAGAGGUGGUUUAGUCAGACUAGAUCUCUAUAGAGGGGGUUUAGUCAGACAGCAGCUCUAUAGAGGUGGUUUAGUCAGACUAGAGCUCUAUAGAGGUGGUUUAGUCAGACUAGAGCUCUAUAGAGGUGGUUUAGUCAGACAGCAGCUCUAUAGAGGUGGUUUAGUCAGACUAGAGCUCUAUAGAGGUGGUUUAGUCAGACAGCAGCUCUAUAGAGGUGGUUUAGUCAGACAGCAGCUCUAUAGAGGUGGUUUAGUCAGACUAGAGCUCUAUAGAGGUGGUUUAGUCAGACUAGAGCUCUAUAGAGGUGGUUUAGUCAGUCUAUAGAGGUGGUGUCUUGGAAUUAAAUAAUAUUAAUCAAAAAAACGAAUUUAAUAAAAUCCAAUUUUAUUGGCCACAUACACGUGUUUAGCAGAUGUUAUUGCGGGUGUUGAAAUGCUUGU